UUUAUUGGGUGUAAGACCGGGGGGUUAGCCCUGAGGUGGUUGGACCCAACCGACUAUUGUGUGGAGUACUUCUUCUUCGAGUAGUUAGGGGGGUGGAACCUCCCUCUGGCAGACCCAUCCUAGCCUUUAUUGGAUGUAAGACCGGGGGUGAGCCCUGAGAAGGUGGAGGUGCUCCGAGUGCUUUGCGAAGGAUGAUGCAUUGGAAGCUCAAGUGCUUUCCUUUGGGGUGCAGGAAGCAUUUUGAAUGGAGUUUCUGAUCCCCCACAGAGUUCAGGGCCUCAACGCGGUCGGCACGGGGUAAACUUUAUGCAUCACAAGGUUGGGUUGGGGACAGAAGUUCAGGGGUUAGGGCAGGGGGCUGAGGGCACUCCCUGCUGGCCCCGUCGCGUCCCGUUGCCAUCCCUAUGGGUGAAUGGCGACGUUGGCAGUGGCUUGAUCAUGAUGGCCGGCGACGGUGAUACUGUUUUUUUUAUGCUAGCGCUUUUGUAGCAGUGACACCACUAUCU